UGAUCCUGGCUCAGGAUNAACGCUGGCGGUAUGCUUAACACAUGCAAGUCGAACGGUCUUUUAGGAGACAGUGGCGGACGGGUGAGUAACGCGUAAGAAUCUACCUUCAGGUUGGGGACAACCACUGGAAACGGUGGCUAAUACCGAAUGUGCCGAGAGGUGAAAGGCUUGCUGCCUGAAGAAGAGCUUGCGUCUGAUUAGCUAGUUGGUAGUGUAAGAGACUACCAAGGCGACGAUCAGUAGCUGGUCUGAGAGGAUGAUCAGCCACACUGGGACUGAGACACGGCCCAGACUCCUACGGGAGGCAGCAGUGGGGAAUUUUCCGCAAUGGGCGAAAGCCUGACGGAGCAAUACCGCGUGAGGGAGGAAGGCUCUUGGGUUGUAAACCUCUUUUCUCAGGGAAGAACAGAAUGACGGUACCUGAGGAAUAAGCAUCGGCUAACUCCGUGCCAGCAGCCGCGGUAAUACGGAGGAUGCAAGCGUUAUCCGGAAUGAUUGGGCGUAAAGGGUCCGCAGGUGGCAUUGUAAGUCUGCUGUUAAAGAGUUUGGCUCAACCAAAUAAGAGCAGUGGAAACUACAAAGCUAGAGUGUGGUCGGGGCAGAGGGAAUUCCUGGUGUAGCGGUGAAAUGCGUAGAUAUCAGGAAGAACACCAGUGGCGAAGGCGCUCUGCUAGGCCGAGACUGACACUGAGGGACGAAAGCUAGGGGAGCGAAUGGGAUUAGAUACCCCAGUAGUCCUAGCCGUAAACGAUGGAUACUAGGCGUAGCUCGUAUCGACCCGAGCUGUGCCGGAGCUAACGCGUUAAGUAUCCCGCCUGGGGAGUACGCAGGCAACUGUGAAACUCAAAGGAAUUGACGGGGGCCCGCACAAGCGGUGGAGUAUGUGGUUUAAUUCGAUGCAACGCGAAGAACCUUACCAAGGCUUGACAUGUCACGAAUCCUAUUGAAAGAUGGGAGUGCCUUCGGGAGCGUGAACACAGGUGGUGCAUGGCUGUCGUCAGCUCGUGUCGUGAGAUGUUGGGUUAAGUCCCGCAACGAGCGCAACCCUCGUUUUUAGUUGCCAGCAUUAAGAUGGGCACUCUAGAGAGACUGCCGGUGACAAACCGGAGGAAGGUGGGGAUGACGUCAAGUCAGCAUGCCCCUUACGUCUUGGGCUACACACGUACUACAAUGCUCCGGACAAAGGGCAGCUACACAGCGAUGUGAUGCGAAUCUCAUAAACCGGAGCUCAGUUCAGAUCGAAGGCUGCAACUCGCCUUCGUGAAGGAGGAAUCGCUAGUAAUUGCAGGUCAGCAUACUGCAGUGAAUUCGUUCCCGGGCCUUGUACACACCGCCCGUCACACCAUGGAAGUUGGUCACGCCCGAAGUCGUUACCCCAACCUAUUGGAGGGGGAUGCCUAAGGUAGGACUGAUGACUGGGGUGAAGUCGUAACAAGGUAGCCGUACCGGAAGGUGUGGCUGGAUCACCUCCUUU
rnacentral:rRNA from 1 species